rnacentral:rRNA from 1 species
UCCAAGUGAAGUAGAGGACAGUGGCGGACGGGUGAGUAACGCGUGAGGAACCUGCCUUUCAGAGGGGGACAACAGUUGGAAACGACUGCUAAUACCGCAUGACACAUUGGGGUCGCAUGGCCCUGAUGUCAAAGAUUUAUCGCUGAAAGAUGGCCUCGCGUCUGAUUAGCUAGUUGGUGAGGUAACGGCCCACCAAGGCGACGAUCAGUAGCCGGUCUGAGAGGAUGAACGGCCACAUUGGGACUGAGACACGGCCCAAACUCC